GGGUUGUGAGGUUAAGCGACUAAGCGUACACGGUGGAUGCCCUGGCAGUCAGAGGCGAUGAAGGGCGUGCUAAUCUGCGAUAAGCGCCGGUAAGGUGAUAUGAACCGUUAUAACCGGCGAUACCCGAAUGGGGAAACCCAGUGUGACUCGUCACACUAUCAUUAACUGAAUCCAUAGGUUAAUGAGGCGAACCGGGGGAACUGAAACAUCUAAGUACCCCGAGGAAAAGAAAUCAACCGAGAUUCCCCCAGUAGCGGCGAGCGAACGGGGAGGAGCCCAGAGCCUGAAUCAGCAUGUGUGUUAGUGGAAGCGUCUGGAAAGGCGCGCGAUACAGGGUGACAGCCCCGUACACAAAAGCGCAUGUGCUGUGAGCUCGAUGAGUAGGGCGGGACACGUGGUAUCCUGUCUGAAUAUGGGGGGACCAUCCUCCAAGGCUAAAUACUCCUGACUGACCGAUAGUGAACCAGUACCGUGAGGGAAAGGCGAAAAGAACCCCGGCGAGGGGAGUGAAAAAGAACCUGAAACCGUGUACGUACAAGCAGUGGGAGCACAGGUUUACCUGUGUGACUGCGUACCUUUUGUAUAAUGGGUCAGCGACUUAUAUUCUGUAGCAAGGUUAACCGUAUAGGGGAGCCGUAGGGAAACCGAGUCUUAACCGGGCGUUAAGUUGCAGGGUAUAGACCCGAAACCCGGUGAUCUAGCCAUGGGCAGGUUGAAGGUUGGGUAACACUAACUGGAGGACCGAACCGACUAAUGUUGAAAAAUUAGCGGAUGACCUGUGGCUGGGGGUGAAAGGCCAAUCAAACCGGGAGAUAGCUGGUUCUCCCCGAAAGCUAUUUAGGUAGCGCCUCGUGAAUUCAUCUCCGGGGGUAGAGCACUGUUUCGGCUAGGGGGCCAUCCCGGCUUACCAACCCGAUGCAAACUGCGAAUACCGGAGAAUGUUAUCACGGGAGACACACGGCGGGUGCUAACGUCCGUCGUGAAGAGGGAAACAACCCAGACCGCCAGCUAAGGUCCCAAAGUCAUGGUUAAGUGGGAAACGAUGUGGGAAGGCCCAGACAGCCAGGAUGUUGGCUUAGAAGCAGCCAUCAUUUAAAGAAAGCGUAAUAGCUCACUGGUCGAGUCGGCCUGCGCGGAAGAUGUAACGGGGCUAAACCAUGCACCGAAGCUGCGGCAGCGACGCUUAUGCGUUGUUGGGUAGGGGAGCGUUCUGUAAGCCUGUGAAGGUGUGUCGUGAGGCAUGCUGGAGGUAUCAGAAGUGCGAAUGCUGACAUAAGUAACGAUAAAGCGGGUGAAAAGCCCGCUCGCCGGAAGACCAAGGGUUCCUGUCCAACGUUAAUCGGGGCAGGGUGAGUCGACCCCUAAGGCGAGGCCGAAAGGCGUAGUCGAUGGGAAACGGGUUAAUAUUCCCGUACUUGGUGUUACUGCGAAGGGGGGACGGAGAAGGCUAUGUUGGCCGGGCGACGGUUGUCCCGGUUUAAGCGUGUAGGUGUGUGUUCCAGGUAAAUCCGGUUCACUUUAACACUGAGGCGUGAUGACGAGGCACUACGGUGCUGAAGCAACAAAUGCCCUGCUUCCAGGAAAAGCCUCUAAGCAUCAGGUAACAUCAAAUCGUACCCCAAACCGACACAGGUGGUCAGGUAGAGAAUACCAAGGCGCUUGAGAGAACUCGGGUGAAGGAACUAGGCAAAAUGGUGCCGUAACUUCGGGAGAAGGCACGCUGAUAUGUAGGUGAAGUGAUUUACUCAUGGAGCUGAAAUCAGUCGAAGAUACCAGCUGGCUGCAACUGUUUAUUAAAAACACAGCACUGUGCAAACACGAAAGUGGACGUAUACGGUGUGACGCCUGCCCGGUGCCGGAAGGUUAAUUGAUGGGGUCAGCGCAAGCGAAGCUCCUGAUCGAAGCCCCGGUAAACGGCGGCCGUAACUAUAACGGUCCUAAGGUAGCGAAAUUCCUUGUCGGGUAAGUUCCGACCUGCACGAAUGGCGUAAUGAUGGCCAGGCUGUCUCCACCCGAGACUCAGUGAAAUUGAACUCGCUGUGAAGAUGCAGUGUACCCGCGGCAAGACGGAAAGACCCCGUGAACCUUUACUAUAGCUUGACACUGAACAUUGAGCCUUGAUGUGUAGGAUAGGUGGGAGGCUUUGAAGCGUGGACGCCAGUCUGCGUGGAGCCGACCUUGAAAUACCACCCUUUAAUGUUUGAUGUUCUAACGUGGACCCGUAAUCCGGGUUGCGGACAGUGUCUGGUGGGUAGUUUGACUGGGGCGGUCUCCUCCUAAAGAGUAACGGAGGAGCACGAAGGUUGGCUAAUCCUGGUCGGACAUCAGGAGGUUAGUGCAAUGGCAUAAGCCAGCUUGACUGCGAGCGUGACGGCGCGAGCAGGUGCGAAAGCAGGUCAUAGUGAUCCGGUGGUUCUGACUGGAAGGGCCAUCGCUCAACGGAUAAAAGGUACUCCGGGGAUAACAGGCUGAUACCGCCCAAGAGUUCAUAUCGACGGCGGUGUUUGGCACCUCGAUGUCGGCUCAUCACAUCCUGGGGCUGAAGUAGGUCCCAAGGGUAUGGCUGUUCGCCAUUUAAAGUGGUACGCGAGCUGGGUUUAGAACGUCGUGAGACAGUUCGGUCCCUAUCUGCCGUGGGCGCUGGAGAACUGAGGGGGGCUGCUCCUAGUACGAGAGGACCGGAGUGGACGCAUCACUGGUGUUCGGGUUGUCAUGCCAAUGGCACUGCCCGGUAGCUAAAUGCGGAAAAGAUAAGUGCUGAAAGCAUCUAAGCACGAAACUUGCCCCGAGAUGAGUUCUCCCUGAGACUUAGAGUCUCCUGAAGGAACGUUGAAGACGACGACGUUGAUAGGCCGGGUGUGUAAGCACAGCGAUGCGUUGAGCUAACCGGUACUAAUGAACCGUGAGGCUUAACCUUACAACGCCGAAG
rnacentral:rRNA from 2 species